AGGGAUCCCACAGAGACCUGCUCCUUCCAUUGCAGAUCACUGUCCUGGCACCGGCACUUGAGCUCCUUCCUUUUGACUAGAGACUGGAGUGAGAAUCAAACCACAGGAAAAAGCAGCUGCUGUUCUACAAGCAUAACCUUUCAACUUCUGGGUACAUCUUAUUGGAAAGGGAGCCACGUCCAGCUUACAGUUUUGACUCCAAGACUUGACAACUGAAACUGGGAGGUUUCUGACACUUUGGUGCUGCCAAGAACUGAGGUGCAUUUCUGUAGAGGACAUGUUCUCCAGACUUUACCUCAUGAUGUAUUGCACCCUUGCAUUUAUAGCCUUGUGCUUCUGUUGUCAAAGGAGAAAAAGGAAAGGGAAGGCAUGCCCUCGAAUAAAAUACAGAUGAAAGAAGACUGGGCAGCAGUUAAAUAAAGUUUUGGUCCCUGAUAAAUUUGGGAACAUUCCAACUUAAACCUGGUCUGAAUAACACACUUGUCAUUAUAAUCCACACUGAGAGUAUGUCUUUGAAAACCUAUCCUCUCUUACUCUCAAAUUUGCAGAAGGGGGUAAAAACCUGAAGAAGAAAGAAGCAAUAAUAAACUGAAGUUUCAUAGACUGAGGAUUCCCAACUUAAAAAGAUGGAAAGCAACUGUUAUUCUAGUUCUUUACUUUCAAGUAAAUGGCUAAAGAUGUAUUUAUCUCUCACCGAAGCCUCAUCAUGUUUAUCAAAUACCUCCCUUUUCAGAGAAAUAGACACCUUUUCUCUUGA